GUGCACAUGCUAUCCCUUGUUUUCGUUCGCAAAUGCGUUUGAUGGUGCUAGUUUAAAUGUACAUAUCUGUCAUUCUACAUGAAAGAAAUAUCCUCCAAGCACUACUUGCCUGGUAAACAGAAUUCUUACUAGUUUUAAUUGUGAGAUUCUGAUAAACAAGCUUUUGCGUCAUCAAAGUGGAACUAAUUACAGCAAGCCUUGGUAACAUUACAAGAAAUUCUGCAACUGGCCCUGUCCCAUAAAAUAGAACAGCAUACAUGGCAAAGAAAAAUAAUAAGAAUAAACUUCAUUUUCCAUACUCCUGGGCAGUGGGCACAUACACGGUUUCAAAUGGGUACUUCAAUUAUUUCGUUUGCUCUUAUGCUUAGGUGCCUCCUGCAAAUCCAUGCAAUCUGUCCAUUAUCCCUGUAUCUCACUCUCCACAAUCCAAACUUCUCUGCAAUGUCCUUUCCAGUCGAACACCUGCGGUCCCUUAGAAAAUCAACCACCCAUUGUUGUGCUGCUCUUACUUCUUGUUGAAUAUUUCUUGAGCUUUCUGCACUUCUGUUUCUGUUCCUGAUUCCCUCCAUUCGUCCCAUAGCUGCAGCCCCCACAGCUCCAGCAGCAACUGCUCCUGCUGCUCCAUACAUGAUGGAAGAGCCAGUUAGAUGAGCAACUUCUCUGCUCAAAUCUGGUAUCAUUUCUCCCAUUCCAGCUACCAGAUGGGCUCCUAUCUUGAGCGCAAAUGUUACCAAUUUCAUGAAUUUUUUCAUAUAUGGAGCCAAACUUUUCACUGCCCUGUUAUCAACCUGCAUAAUUUCACAACCAAUCUGAUCUUCAACAACGUGCAUUUCUCGUCUGAAUUCACAUAACAUGUGAAGCCGGAGUGCAGUCAUACCAGAGAUCAUGUUAGUGACCAAUCUUCUUGAGUAGUUUUCUGUUCUGACGAAAAAGAACAUGUUAGGUACUUUCCUCUCUUCCAGUUGGACAUUGUAAUUCACAAGGUAGUUCACUUUGCGAUGAAGCUCUAUGAGGAGUCUGUGUUCAUAAUACCUCAACCCUUGUAUCUCUUGCUUCAAGUCUCUAAUCUCUUGUUCGAUAAUCUUGAGUCUCUGCAAAACUUGUUCCACCCCUUUUGCAAUUCCAGAAAAACUUGGAUCAACUGUGUCCAGUUCAUUACCUGGCUGAUCUGUACCAUCUGGAUUUCUUUCUGGUGGGACUUCCAAUUCUGCAGCAAGGUCAUACAAGUCAUUAUAUCUUCUGUGCAAUGCUUCCCGGAAGUCAUCAUCUGAUAGGAGGUCUCGAGCAAGAUCAAAUCCAGCUCUUAGAACUGGUCUGCCAGAGUCGAGAACUGGACCCCAAGUGUGCUGAUAGUCGUAUAGGCUGUCAGCAGGAAGUGAGAGCAGUGCCUGUUUCAAUUGCUGCAAAGGCACAUGUUGGGUUUUUCUGUAUCUGGGCGGCGUCAAGUUUUGCACGCAUUCAGGCCUCAUGACGCUUUCCCUCAAUGUGACGCCAUGGCAGAGACUCUGGAUUGCGGGAAUUAUGAGCUGAUGAAUGAGUCUGAGCGUUUCUGUCAAGUUCUUGGUGGAGCAAGCUAGAACAUCAACGUAGUAUCCCAGCUGUCCUCCAAGUUCUAUUCUGAUGUAGAUACCAUUGAUGUUUAUUGAGAUGAGGUAUUUUUCAAGACUGUAGGUUGCUCCAUGUUGGUUCUUCAAUGCCAUGAUUCUAUUAUGAAGAUUAACCUGGGUUCAAAAGCAAUUGAAAUACAGUGAGUGAGAAAUAGAAGACAAUUUCAGGACUUUCUUGGCACAUAUUCCCAGUGAAGUGCCAUAAGAAAAUAAUCUAUGGUAUUCCCUAAGCGUUUUAAACUUAUUUGAGGUUACAAUUCGGUACAAAACAGGAGGAACAAUCAGAUAAAAGUAGACUCAAAUAUUACCUGCAGACGAGGAAAGAAGCCUGGUGUGAGAAACAUGUGGCUUGAAUCGUCACAUUCAAGAUGCCUCCCUGCAUAAAGGCAGUCAGGCGUAGUUAACUGCCACCUCUGUGGCCUCCCUCUGCCUUCCUCAAGAAUUGAGGGGAUCAGUAGUGGAGAAUUUGAAUCUGAUGGAUCUUGUUCAUAGCACAGUUCUAGUUUGAGCAUCAUUCUCACAAGGUCACUGGCCUCUAAGUUCUCAAAGACCUUUGAACCCAUUCCAGGAAUUUGACUUUGUAAACUUCCUCUUAGCAUCUUCUCCAAUUCUUUUCUGCUAAUGAAGCCAUUAUUCUCCAUGGAGCUUUGCUUUCUAACAUCCAAUUUUAUUAGUUGGCUAAGCACUUCACUGCAGAACCACUCACAAUCUAAGAUUAAGAAACCUAAUUCAUCAAAAUAAAUCAAUUCGCCAAUAUGAUGAAGGCAACUAGCUACAGCUCUCCUCCUCAUUUCCAUCUUUUCUUUAUUGUCAUGUCUGGAACGAAUUCUCAAUGGUGGAACCUUCACUUGGCAAAGCUCACCAAAUUCUUUCCACUUCAUUGCUGGUUUGUUGUAGUUCUCUGCUCUCCAGUCUGAUAAAAUUUGAAUUAGAUCAUUGCAAAGCUGAUAAACUUGUGGUACUCUUUCAAGAAUUGUCUUGCUUGUCUUCCGAAGAUGAUGAGCGAGUUUACUAACUGAUGCAGAAGAUCUUGCAUCAAUUGUGAAUACAGUUGGAUAGAAUUCAACAAAUCCUUGGAACUUGUCUCUCACUCUCUGAAUAUAAGUCACCGCGAGCUGCAAGUUUUGUGAUGUUUGAUUGAUUUUGUCACAAUGUGUGAGGACUAUAGUUACAUUUGGUAGCAUGCACUGUUGGAUAGCUCUUCUCGAAUUGGAGACUAUGAACCUAAGCCAAUAUUGCAGGUCCUCUUCUAUCUCUUCUGCUGUCUUUGGCUCUCGGUUGCUGGGUUUUCUGAACAAACUGGAUAUGAUUAGGAAGAAUGAUGCACUUCCGUGCCCUGGAAACAUGAGAUCAUGGAGGGAGUAAAACUCGUGCUGGUCUGCAAGAUUCCAUAUAGAUAUCUUGGUGUCUUCAUCUUUGAAAGUCUUUAUCUUCAUUCCGUUUGUUCUAACAGCUUGUUCAACUGGAUUCACUAGAGUUCUCACUUGGUCCAUGUAGGGAAGCUUUGAAGACGAGAAGUUCUGUGAUAUGGAGUUACAAAGUGUAGUCUUGCCCGCAUAUUCUUGCCCGCAGAGGAAGACCCUACAGCUCUUUGGCUCAGUAAGUGGCAUGUCCUUGAGCAAAUCAGCUGUAUCUACUUCUGGUUCAGUCUUUCCAUUCUGGCCCAGUCUUUGAUAAAUUUCAUCAGUCCUCCCUGAAUUCUGCAGCGGUGUUCUUGAAAGAUCGAUGUCCUCAAUCCAAGGAUUGACCUGCAAUGUCUCCAUUAUUGUCUUUAGUACAAACUCUCCUUGAACCCCUCUACAACCUUGCAAAGACAAGUGUCUCAAACUGGCAUUCCUUUCUAAGCUCCUGAAAAUUUUGACAAAAUCGUCUGGUCUCAAACUCUCGUCAUCGCAUAUCCCCAACCUGGUCAGAGUCUCAUUAGUUGUCAGCAUUUGUAUAAUUGCCGUGAGCCCAUCCCUUCCAAUUUUUGUUCUCCCUCCUCCAAAGGUCACAGUCUUCAGUGUUAUAUUGGCUUGGCUUUGCAGGGCAGAGAACCUGCUCAAAGGGCAUAGCAAAUGCUCUACACCUAUCCCACUAAACCAGUUUCCAUCAACAUAUAGUCUUUCCAAACUCUGGUUCUUAAAGAGUCCAGCUGCAACAUAAACAACUCCCUUGUCCUUGAGGCAAGUUUUUGUCAAUCUUACCUCCUUGAGGCUCAGAUUUUGCUCCAAGACCCAUCGAAACUCUUUAGCCCAGCGUGAUUUCAGCCGGACUCCAGUCAUGUCAAGUGACUUCACUGUUGAGUUCCAUCCUAGAGAGCAAGCAACCCUGCAAGAACCAGAAAUGUUUAGCCUGUAAAUUCGAAGCGUGCUGCUCUCAGGUACAAACUCUACCACCUUGGAACUUUUCCCUCCAUUUUCUCCAGUCCAAACAUGGACCUCCAUGGUCCUAUUCCUUGCUAAAACAGCUGAUAUAAGUGGAGUUGCUGUGAUAUAGUGUGAAUCAAAAAUUGUCAAAAGCUUCAAUGUUGAGUUUAUUUCAAUCAUCUUUGAAAGCUCCUCUGCACCUUUCGACCCGAUUGAGUCUUCCCAUAUCUGCAACUCUUCCAAGCUCUCAUUUAACUUAAGAGCAGCAGCUAUAAGUCCAGCUCCAGCAGACCCUACCCCUGAUUCAGAAAACGUUACUUCUUUAAUCACUGUAUUCCUUUUUAGAAUCUCACAAAGCUCACAUAAGCAUUCUGUAUCAAAUCUGUUUCGUCGAAACACAAGCUGCCUGAUGUUUGGACUACUCUGGAGCAAUACUCCAAGAUAUACUACUUGCUCUAGUCCCCAAUCGACUCGGUGAAACUCAAGAUUCGUUAAAGAAGACUGAAUGUUUUUGUCAGUGCCCAAGUCUGAGAGGAUGUGUGAAAAGUUGGAAAUGCUGUCCUUGGAAAUGUUGACAUUCAGAGAUUGUUCUGUUUCUUGGUAACAGCCUGAAACUGGUUGAGAAAGGUAGAAGGAAAUGCUCUGUAGAUUGAGGGUUUGUGAUUUAAUGGCUUGCAGAAGCCAUUUUAGAUCUCUAAGGUUCCGGUUUGAUGCCAUGGCCAAGAUGGGAAGCUAGCCCUAGCUCUGUGCGCUUUACCUGAACAUUUUUUUCAAAGACAAAUUUGGAAGCAGCACAUGUUCUAAGAGAAAAGAACUAUUUCUUGCCGUAAUAUACAGAAAGGAAAAGGGACCUUUUGUUUUUCGGUGGAGAGAGGGUGCGCGUACUGUGUCAGAUAUUUGACAAUGUUGGCCAUGAGAGAGAGAGAGAGAUGAACUCAUGUUCUCAACUUCUUGGUGAAGGAUUCCUUUAAGAAAGCUUGUUUCAACUUUCAAAGGUAAUGGAUAGCUUCAGUCAUCAUUUUCUUUAGAUUCAGCAUUCAUAGAGUAACAUAUUUGGAUUCAGGCAUUAGGUUAC
rnacentral:misc_RNA from 1 species